GAGGGUGUAGCUCAGUGGUAGAGUGUGUACUUAGCAUGCCUGAAGUCCUAGGUUCAACCCCCAGUACCUCCA
rnacentral:tRNA from 1 species